rnacentral:rRNA from 1 species
GAUGAACGCUGGCGGCGUGUCUAAGGCAUGCAAGUCGAACGGACUGUUAUUUGUAGCAAUACUUAGAACAGUUAGUGGCAAACGGGUGCGUAACACAUUGGUAACCUGCCUCAAAGUCGGGCAUAAUCCCGCGAAAGUGGGACUAAUUCCACGAUGGUCAUCGAAGGUGAGAUUCCUUCGAUGUAAAGUCGCAAGACGCUUUGAGAGGGGCCUAUGGCCUAUCAGCUUGUUGGUGAGGUAACGGCUCACCAAGGCUAUGACGGGUAGGGGGUGUGAGAGCACGACCCCCCUCACUGGGACUGAGACACUGCCCAGACACCUACGGGUGGCUGCAGUCGAGAAUAUUCCCCAAUGGCCGAAAGGCUGAGGGAGCGACGCCGCGUGCAGGAAUAAGG